GAUGAACGCUGGCGGCGUGCUUAACACAUGCAAGUCGAGCGAGUGAGUUCUUCGGAGCGAUCUAGCGGCGGACGGGUGAGUAACACGUGGGCAACCUGCCUCAUAGAGGGGAAUAGCCUCCCGAAAGGGAGAUUAAUACCGCAUAAAAUUAUCGAGUGGCAUCACAUGAUAAUCAAAGGAGUAAUCCGCUAUGAGAUGGGCCCGUGGCGCAUUAGCUAGUUGGUGAGGUAACGGCCUACCAAGGCGACGAUGCGUAGCCGACCUGAGAGGGUGAUCGGCCACAUUGGGACUGAGACACGGCCCAGACUCCUACGGGAGGCAGCAGUGGGGAAUAUUGCACAAUGGGGGAAACCCUGAUGCAGCAACGCCGCGUGAGUGAUGAAGGUCUUCGGAUUGUAAAGCUCUGUCUUUGGGGACGAUAAUGACGGUACCCAAGGAGGAAGCCACGGCUAACUACGUGCCAGCCGCCGCAGUAA
rnacentral:rRNA from 1 species